GGGGAAUAUUGCGCAAUGGGGGAAACCCUGACGCAGCAACGCCGCGUGAGUGAAGAAGGUCUUCGGAUCGUAAAACUCUGUCAUCGGGGACGAAGGAAGUGACGGUACCCGAAGAGGAAGCCCCGGCUAACUACGUGCCAGCAGCCGCGGUAAUACGUAGGGGGCGAGCGUUGUCCGGAAUUACUGGGCGUAAAGGGUGCGUAGGCGGUAUGUUAAGUCAGGUGUGAAAUACCAUGGCUCAACUGUGGUGUUGCACAUGAAACUGGCAUACUAGAGUGCAGGAGAGGGAAGUGGAAUUCCUAGUGUAGCGGUGAAAUGCGUAGAGAUUAGGAGGAACACCAGUGGCGAAGGCGGCUUCCUGGCCUGUAACUGACGCUGAGGCACGAAAGCGUGGGGAGCGAAC
rnacentral:rRNA from 1 species